rnacentral:rRNA from 1 species
UACGUAGGGGGCAAGCGUUGUCCGGAUUUAUUGGGCGUAAAGAGCGUGUAGGCGGCUUUUCAAGUCCGUUGUGAAAACUCGAGGCUCAACCUCGAGACGCCGGUGGAAACUGCAAAGCUAGAGUCCGGAAGAGGAGAGUGGAAUUCCUGGUGUAGCGGUGAAAUGCGCAGAUAUCAGGAAGAACACCAGUGGCGAAGGCGGCUCUCUGGGACGGUACUGACGCUGAGACGCGAAAGCGUGGGGAGCGAACAGG